GUGGGGAAUCUUGCGCAAUGGGCGAAAGCCUGACGCAGCCAUGCCGCGUGAAUGAUGAAGGUCUUAGGAUUGUAAAAUUCUUUCACCGGGGACGAUAAUGACGGUACCCGGAGAAGAAGCCCCGGCUAACUUCGUGCCAGCAGCCGCUGUAAUACGAAGGGGGCUAGCGUUGCUCGGAAUUACUGGGCGUAAAGGGCGCGUAGGCGGACAGUUUAGUCAGAGGUGAAAGCCCAGGGCUCAACCUUGGAAUUGCCUUUGAUACUGGCUGUCUUGAGUACGGGAGAGGUGAGUGGAACUCCGAGUGUAGAGGUGAAAUUCGUAGAUAUUCGGAAGAACACCAGUGGCGAAGGCGACUCACUGGCCCGUUACUGACGCUGAGGCGCGAAAGCGUGGGGAGCAAACAGGAUUAGAUACCCUAGUAGUCC
rnacentral:rRNA from 1 species